ACAGCCAUAUUACCUUAAAACAACGGUUUUCGUUCGAUCACCGAAGUUAAGCAACGUCAAGCAUGGUCAGUACCUAGAUGGUUGACCACGUGGGAAUACCAG